rnacentral:rRNA from 1 species
AGAGUUUGAUCCUGGCUCAGGAUGAACGCUGGCGGCAUGCCUAAUACAUGCAAGUCGAACGGAUCAGCAAUGGUCAGUGGCGAACGGGUGAGUAACACGUAGGUAACCUACCUAAUAGUUGGGAAUAACUCCAAGAAAUUGGAGCUAAAACCGAAUGUGACAUUCUUUAGGCAUCUAGAGAAUGAUAAAAGUGCGUAUGCAUUGCUAUUAGAUGGGCCUGCGGCGCAUUAGUUAGUUGGUGGGGUAAUGGCCUACCAAGACAAUGAUGCGUAGCCGACCUGAGAGGGUGAACGGCCACAUUGGAACUGAGAACGGUCCAAACUCCUACGGGAGGCAGCAGUAGGGAAUAUUUCACAAUCAACGAAAGUUGGAUGGAGCAAUGCCGCGUGAGUGAUGAAGGUCUUAUGGAUUGUAAAGCUCUGUUGCUAGGGAAGAAUGGCUUUAAUAGGAAAUGAUUAAAGUAGGGACGGUACCCUAGUGAGGAAGUCACGGCUAAUUAUGUGCCAGCAGCCGCGGUA